rnacentral:rRNA from 1 species
AGUGAACGCUGGCGGUAGGCCUAACACAUGCAAGUCGAACGGCAGCACAGUAAGAGCUUGCUCUUACGGGUGGCGAGUGGCGGACGGGUGAGGAAUACAUCGGAAUCUACUUUUUCGUGGGGGAUAACGUAGGGAAACUUACGCUAAUACCGCAUACGACCUACGGGUGAAAGCAGGGGAUCUUCGGACCUUGCGCGAUUGAAUGAGCCGAUGUCGGAUUAGCUAUUUGGCGGGGUAAAGGCCCACCAAGGCGACGAUCCGUAGCUGGUCUGAGAGGAUGCUCAGCCCCACUGGACCUGAGACACGGUCCUGACUCCUACGGGAGGCAGCAGUGUGGAAUAUUCGACAAUGGGCGCAAGCCUGAUCCAGCCAUACCGCGUGGGUGAAGAAGGCCUUCGGUUUGUAAAGCCCUUUUGUUGGGAAAGAAAAGCAGCAGGUUAAUACCCCGCUGUUCUGACGGUACCCAAAGAAUAAGCACCGGCUAACUUCGUG